CCUCGGGGGGCUGCAGUGGGGAAUAUUGGACAAUGGGGGCAACCCUGAUCCAGCCAUGCCGCGUGUGUGAAGAAGGCCCUCGGGUUGUAAAGCACUUUCAGUGAGGAAGAACGCCUGGUGGUUAAUACCCAUCAGGAAAGACAUCACUCACAGAAGAAGCACCGGCUAACUCCGUGCCAGCAGCCGCGGUAAUACGGAGGGUGCGAGCGUUAAUCGGAAUUACUGGGCGUAAAGCGCGCGUAGGUGGCUUGAUAAGCCGGUUGUGAAAGCCCCGGGCUCAACCUGGGAACGGCAUCCGGAACUGUCAAGCUAGAGUGCAGGAGAGGAAGGUAGAAUUCCCGGUGUAGCGGUGAAAUGCGUAGAGAUCGGGAGGAAUACCAGUGGCGAAGGCGGCCUUCUGGACUGACACUGACACUGAGGUGCGAAAGCGUGGGUAGCAAACAGGAUUAGAUACCCUGGUAGUC
rnacentral:rRNA from 1 species